GUCUGUGUAAAGAAUAAAUUAGCAAUAAAUCACCUCUCCUUUACACUUGAACAUGUAUUUCACAGUCCCUUAAAAAUUUAAUAGCAGAUAUACAAAAUUUGCAAAAACUUUAAUACAAAAUUAAAUACUGAUAUAACUGUUUCAAAUAAAUUCUGAUUUUCUGAGCCUUCUAAGUGGCUGGAAAAUUAUUUUUUGCCAGGAUCUAAAUUAGUUUUUAUAACAAACAAACAAACUUUUCACUAUCUACAGUGCAUGGUUUUAAGCAUCUAAAAGCACAUCUGAUUAUUUCGGCUAGCACACGACCUAAUGCUCCAUCUGAGGCAUGGCACUUGGUGACAAGCCUGUGAGGAUUUGGUGUUCCCUUCUUUUGCAUAUGCACUUAAUUUUUCACAAGAAAAAAAUAGAGUAUUUUAACUUAUCAUUUUGGAAUCUAGUCUACCUUUUAAUUUCAUAUUAUCAUCUGAUCCUUUAUAAAAUCUACCUUUUAUGUUUUAUUCUCAUUUAAACAAGGGUGUUGGGUCAAAAUCUUUAGAUGUUUAGUAUUUUUUUUAUUAGAUAUUUUUUCAUUUACAUUUCAAAUGCUAUCCAGAAAGUCCACUAUAGCCUCACCCUAGAUGUUUAGUACUAAUAACCAAACCAUAGGAAGUUAUUCAAAGAGGACAGAAAAUGCUUAGUCCUUUUUAUUUUUAUUUGUGAGGCUCUGAGACGAGGUUUUGCAUUGUUUCUUGAGUAGCCACAGUGCUAGGAAUACCCCUGGACUGCUAUCCCCAGCCAGUCAUUUUUAGAGUUGUGCAAGGAUUCCAGGAUGAGUCUUAUGGACAAAAGGCCUGUGGUUUGAAUUUUAAGUUCAAAAGGCAGAGAGGAAAGUGUGUUCUUUUCCUAGUGGGUACUUUUUGGUUCGUCUGUUUUUGAGACAGGGCAUUUCUCUGUGGCUUGAACUCACCAGCUUGUCUGUCUUGUCUGCGUGCUGGGUUUGCAUGUACCGCCAUGCCUGACACAAAUGAUUAUGUUGGUCUGUCAUCUCUUACCUUGUCCCUAACAUCUAAGCCUCCAGAUAUCUUAAUUAUCUUCAUACCCAGAGUCAGAUGUCAUAGCUAUUACUUAAUAUUGUAAAGUAAAUGUAAUGGCAACAUCUAAAUUAAAAUAUUCAUUCUAAGUCAUGAUGUGUUAAGCACUGAAAAGCAGUAUUUUUAAUAAAUAAUUGUAAUUUAUAUUUUAUGUGUUGUUCAAUAAAAAACUAAAGUAGUAAAAAAAAGAAAGUUUGGUCUUUUACCUUUCAUAUUUACAAUCUACAAUUAAAGAUUUAUUUUAUGUAUGUGACUACACUGUAUCUGUACAGAUGGUUAUGAGCCUUCAUGUGGUUGUUGGGAAUUGAAUUUUUAGGAGCUCUGCUCACUCCAGUCCACCCCACUUGCUCCGGUUGGCCCUGCUCACUCUGGUCAACUCCACUAACUCAGUCCCUGCUUGCUCUGGCCCAAAGAUUUAUUUAUUAUUAUACACAAGUACACUGUUAGCUAACUUCAGACGCACCAGAAGAGGGCGUUAGAUCUCUUUACGGGUGGUUGUGAGCCACCAUGUGGUUACUGGGAUUUGAACUCAGGACCUUUGGAAGAGCAGGCAGUGCUCUUACCUGCUGAGCCAUCUCUCCAGCCCUACAAUCUACAAUU
rnacentral:lncRNA from 1 species